rnacentral:lncRNA from 1 species
CCACUUACUAUUACUGUAGCCCAGCUAGCCUAUACUCUGUUUUGUGGAUGAAUUGGUAGACUACUGUCUCUACCCAAUAUCUGAGGGUUUUAUGCCACCCAGUGGUCAAUGGUGUAAUUGCAACAUGUUUUACCGAGCGCAGAACACAAGCUUCAAGAAACGACGAAAUACCUACAAUUCCUGGAAUGCUACGAAACACCAGAAAUAGUUGGUGUCAUUCGUUUGGCUUUAUGUGCACGAACGUGAUUUCAGCAUUUUGGUAUAUCGCAUACUUUUGUGAUAUCAGACACAUGUGUAGAUAUUAAAAUGUAAACGCAAAUUUAAUUUCUACCGUGUUGCAUGAUGGGAAAAUAGUCGGACAGUGAUAUAACCAAGUAAAACUAAAAUUAAUCGCUUCUCCGCCGCUCUCUCCACAACUGUAUUCAUGAACGUGAUUAAACCCUGGUCGAUAUGAUGCCUUAUUAUCUGGGGCCAAAGUGGUAACCGUCAGUCAAAAACAUUUGCCCUAGAAUGACUACCCCUCCACCGAUGUGUACAACUCAUACUUACCUGGCAAGGGAGAUACCGUGAUCAAGAAGGCGGUUCACCCAGGGUGAGGCUCAGCCAUUGCACUCCGGCUGUGCUGACCCCUGCGAAUUUCCCAAAUGUGGAAAUCUCGAUUGCAUAAUUUAUGGUAGUGGGGGACUGCGUUCGCGCUCUCCCCUGAUCUUGGUGUCUAACAACAAUCAUUUUAACAUUUGUCACUGAUCAAAGGUUGAGCCUGAGAUGAGUUGAACUAUGUAGGGUAUGUCUGCAUUGGCUUUUACUUUGGCGUUCCUUCUUCAUUGCAUGAACGCUUUCAGAAUUACGGAUUUCAAAGCAAACUAGUCCUACUACUACUGUAGAUUCAUUUUCUCUUCGAAAUAGGCUGAAUGUCUGUGACUUCUUAUUGUAGCACUGGUUUUAAUGCCUAUAAAUUAGAGGUCGACCGAUUAGGAUUUUUCAACGCCGAUACCGAUACCGAUUAUUGGAGGACCAAAAAAAGCCGCUAUCGAUUAAUCAGCCGAUUAUUUAUUUAUUUGUAAUAAUGACAAUUACAACAAUACUGAAUGAAAACUUAUUUUAACUUAAUAUAAUACAUCAAUAAAAUCAAGUUCCUUGCUCAGAACAUAUGAAAGCUGGUGGUUCCUUUUAACAUGAGUCUUCAAUAUUCCCAGGUAAGAUGUUUUAGGUUGUAGUUAUUAUAGGAAUUAUAGGACUAUUUCUCUCUAUACGAUUUGUAUUUCAUAUACUUUUGACUAUUGGAUGUUCUUAUUGGCACUUUAGUAUUGCCAGUGUAACAGUAUAGCUUCUGUCCCUCUCCUCGCUCCUACCUGGGCUCGAACCAGGAACACAUCGACAACAGCCACCCUUGAAGCAGGGUUACCCAUGUAGUGGAAGGGAAAAAACUACUCCAAGUUUCAGAGCGAGUGACGUUUGAAACGCUAUUAGCGCGCACCCGGCUAACUAGCUAGCCAUUUCACAUCAGUUACUCCAGCCUAAUCUUGGGAGUUGACAGGCUUGAAGUCAUAAACAGCGCAAUGCAUUGCGAAGGGCUGCUGGCAAAAUGCACAAAAGUGCUAUUUUGAAUGAAUGCUUACGAGCCUGCUGGUGCCUACCAUCGCUCAGUCAGACUGCUCUAUCAAAUCAUAGACUUAAUUAUAACAUAAUAACACACAGAAACACGAGCCUUAGGUCAUUAAUAUGGUCGAAUCCGGCAACUAUCAUCUCAAAAACAAAACGUUAUUCCUGUUACAUUGCUGUCUUUGUUAGGAAGAAAUAGUCUUCACAGUUCGCAAUGAGCCAGGCGGCCCAAACUGCUGCAUAUUCCCUGACUCUGUUUGCAAGAGAAGUGACACAUUUUCCCUAGUUAAAAGAAAUUCAUGUUAGCAGGCAAUAUUAACUAAAUAUGCAGGUUUAAAAAUAUAUACUUGUGUAUUGAUUUUAAGAAAGGCAUUGAUGUUUAUGGUUGGAGCAACGUGUACCUAAGCGAUUAUAUGCAACGCAGGACAGGCUAGAUAAACUAGUAAUAUCAUCAACCAUGUGUAGUUAACUAGUGAUUAUGAUUGAUUCAUUGUUUUUAUAAGAUACGUUUAAUGUUAGCUAGCAACUUACCUUAGCUUCUUACUGCAUUCGCGUAACCUCGUGGAGUGCAAUGUAAAGCAGGUGAUUAGAGCGUUGGACUAGUUAACCGUAAGGUUGCAAGAUUGAAUCCUUGAGCUGACAAGGUCAAAAUCUGUCAUUCUGCCCCUGAACAAGGCAGUUAACCCACCGUUCCUAGGCCGUCAUUGAAAAUGAGAAUGUGUUCAUAACUGACUUGCCUAGUUAAAUAAAGGUCUAAAAAAAAUAUAUAUAUAUAAAAAAAUAAUAAUAAAAAAACAAACAAAAAAUCGGCCAAAUCGGCGUCCAAAAUUACCGAUUUCCGAUUGUUAUGAAAAAUUGAAAUCGGCCCUAAUUAAUCGGCCAUUCCGAUUAAUCGGUCGACCUCUACUAUAAAUGUGCUGAUAAUAUAUGGGACAAGGUGUACUUGUGAAUGCAGGGCCGGUCCUAGCCUUUUGGGGGCCUGUCAUGCCAAAUAAUGUCCCACUCUACAUCACAAUGGGAUUACAUGAGUUCUAACUUCUGUUGCUAGGGUUGUUGCUAGAACUUGCAACAUUAUGACCGGAUUACGUAAUGAACCAACGCGUUCGUUGCUAUGCUGGUUGCUCGGCUACCUCGUAGAGGUUGCAAAGGAAGGCGGACGCCGGCAGUUCUAUUUCACCUCAGAAGCGCUAGCUCAGUAGCAAGCGGUAAAUUGCCGCGUGCCGCUUAGUCCGGCCAGAGUGGUUCGCUUGUGGGCGUGCUGGCAUCAUAUGGGAGCAUAUAGCAACACCUUCAGUUGUGCGUCAAGAAUUGAGCAAGGCACAUUUGUAUGGAGGUCUGGUUAUGAAAAGGGUAAAUAGUUACAUAGUAAUAUGCUCUAAAACUCUCUGGUGACAAACUUUGCUGCCCCGUUUCCAAUCGUCCACAUGGCUGGGAGAACUUAUUCAAAUAAGUAAAUACAUUUCUAAAAUGUAAAAAAAAAAACCACUGUUUUAUUAGCUAACUAGCUACGGUGCAGGCUAACUCAAAUAGUCUGCUAAUGUAGCUAACAGUAGUUAGCUAUCUAGCCAACUUUACAUAUCAAAUUUAUUUAUAUAGCCCUUCUUACAUCAGCUGAUAUCUCAAAGUGCUGUACAGAAACCCAGCCUAAAACCCCAAACAGCAAGCAAUGCAGGUGUAGAAGCACGGUGGCUAGGAAAAACUCCCUAGAAAGGCCAAAACCUAGGAAGAAUACUGUACAUACUGUAUAGAUAGCUAGCUAAGUGAAUUAAAUAUCACCAGCUACCCAACUUCAUAUUAGCUAGCCAUCUUGAUCUAUUUAUCACUGUAAAAAAACUGUAAAUGCAUUUGUAGCUAGCUAGCUAACAGCCUCCAUGGCGAAUGGGUGAAAGGAUAGCAGCCCCAACUGUCAAAGUGAGAAAGUAGGCUAUUCUGGAUAGUGCAGGUACUUUUGUGUAGUUCCAGUCCCUAGAAGUGAGGAUGGAGAUAAUAGUAACAUAAUAUUCAGUGUGUUCUAAUUUGAGUAUAAUGAAGUAUAUUUCUUGUGAGGUUUUCUGUCCUCAGAUACAGAGAGCUGUGAAAGCCUGUCUGCAGAUGAAGAUGUCCCCAAAAGAGCAGUGGUUCUCAGUCCUGGGGACUCAAAGGGGUGCACAUUUUUGUUUUUGCCUUAGCACUGCACAGCUGAUUCAAAUGAUACCUUGUAACUGGAGAUUCCUGCUUACAGUUACCGUGUAUGGCACUGCAAGGUUGGGUGACCAAGGCCAUCUGGGACUGCCUCCUGGAGGAAUUCAGGCGUGUGAAGGCUACCUGUGUCCUGCAUAACUUCAUGAGGAUGGACACGAGGACCAGGAGGGGAUCUGUAGCUUGCCACUGUGUGUCAGAGGAGAAGUCUGCUGCUUUGCAGGAUGUUAAAAGGAUGGGGUCCAACAACGCAGCAAGAGAGGCAAUCCGUGUGUGGGAGAUCUUCACCUACUUCUUCAAAGAGGGUGUUGUUACCUGAGGUCAUCUUGAGUGACCUAGGUCGUGAACUCUGGAACAAGGUAAUAACAUUACAGGCUAUAUUCUGUCACCAACUAUAUAAAUAGCCAAGUUUAUUUACUGAUGUGCGAUUUUCUUGCUAUUGCAAACAGUCUUACUCUCUGCAGAGAUGAGGAACCCUCCAUGACACGAUACCAUCAGAAAUCCAUGAGAAAACAUAUUUUUACUUGUUUUCAUGCUGGGCACCUGGCACCAUUUCUCAGUCCCGAUUCCAGUCCUCAUCCUGGGUCCAGGCCUUCGAAGGUGUCCACACUCUACCCAGAGUUCAGCGUCCACUGCUUCUGGCGGAAAUACGUGAGAAAAGGUAAGAAGGUGGCCCGGUGCAGGAGAUGCGGCAAGCAUUUUCAUGUGUCUUGUUUGUCUCAUGUUGUCAAUGUGCAUGAAUUUGUC